rnacentral:ncRNA from 1 species
CAGAGUAGGAUUUUACGCGUUAAGUACCGUUGAAAUGGGAAGUUGUUCUUCGGGCGAAGUGAUUUAUCACUGCGGUGUAAGGUCCGCAUCCACUGC